AAAUUGAAGAGUUUGAUCAUGGCUCAGAUUGAACGCUGGCGGCAGGCCUAACACAUGCAAGUCGAGCGGUAACAGAA
rnacentral:rRNA from 1 species